rnacentral:rRNA from 3 species
GAUUGAGUGUUCCGGUGAAUUAUUCGGACUGUUCCGUGUCGCGGCAACGUGUGCGGAAUGGAAAGUUUUGUGAACCUUAACACUUAGAGGAAGGAGAAGUCGUAACAAGGUUUCCGUAGGUGAACCUGCGGAAGGAUC